AUAUAGCUGACGAGUCGUAAAUAGGACGAAACGCUCGUUUUAAGU
rnacentral:hammerhead_ribozyme from 1 species